GCCGGUUUAGCUCAGCUGGAAGAGCACCUGAUUUGUAAUCAGGGGGUCGGGGGUUCGAGUCCCUCAACCGGCACCA
rnacentral:tRNA from 1 species